GAGUUUGAUCAUGGCUCAGGAUGAACGCUAGCGGCAGGCUUAAUACAUGCAAGUCGAGGGGUAGAGUUAGCUUGCUAACUUGAGACCGGCGCACGGGUGCGUAACGCGUAUGCAAUCUACCUUGUACAGAGGGAUAGCCCAGAGAAAUUUGGAUUAAUACCUCAUAGUGUAACGAAAAGGCAUCUUUUUGUUACUAAAGUUCCAACGGUACAAGAUGAGCAUGCGUCCCAUUAGCUAGAUGGUAAGGUAACGGCUUACCAUGGCAACGAUGGGUAGGGGUCCUGAGAGGGAGAUCCCCCACACUGGUACUGAGACACGGACCAGACUCCUACGGGAGGCAGCAGUGAGGAAUAUUGGUCAAUGGGCGCAAGCCUGAACCAGCCAUGCCGCGUGCAGGAUGACGGUCCUAUGGAUUGUAAACUGCUUUUGUACAGGAAGAAACACUCCCUCGUGAGGGAACUUGACGGUACUGUAAGAAUAAGGAUCGGCUAACUCCGUGCCAGCA
rnacentral:rRNA from 1 species